GGAUGUGAGGGCGAUCUGGCUGUGACAUCUGUCACCCCAUUGAUCACCAGGGUUGAUUCGGCUGAUCUUGCUGGCUAGGCAGGUGUCCAAUCCUUCCUCCAUGUACCUCCCUCCCGAAGCUGCGCAAUCAGUUGAAGAGGAUGGCCUUCCCCGAAUAGAGACGGACUGGUCUUCGGUCGAGGGUAGAUAGAUGAGUAGCCAAGCCCUCUGCUAGAACCUCCAAACAAAUAAGAGCAAUCAUGCGAUCAGUAGCUCAACAGACUUUUAUGCUUGAGGUAACAGAGGCCCAGUUUCAAUCCCCAGCACCACUAUGAACCAGAGUCAAUCAGAUUAGUGCUCUGGGU
rnacentral:snRNA from 1 species